rnacentral:tRNA from 1 species
GGGACCGUGGUCAAGCUUGGUACGAUUCGCGGUUCGGGUCCGCGAGAUCCCCGGUUCAAAUCCGGGCGGUCCCACCA